GCAAGAGAAAAGGGACUGGGAUUCCAACUGUCAGCGGAGAGUGUUGUCUGCAACCAGAAAAUCAGGAUGGAUCCGUGACCUGCCAAUACCUCAGCUGUGCCAAUUCUGCAGCUUUAUUCUGAUCAAGCAGCUGAUGAACACCUUCAUCAUCAUGUCCCUCACUGCUG